GCAGGAGCCAGGAUCCAGGUGCUUUUCCUGGUCUCCCAUGGGGUGCAGGGCCCAAGCACCUGGCCAUCCUCCACUGCACUCCCUGGCCAUAGCAGAGAGCUGGCCUGGAAGAGGGGCAACCGGGACAGAAUCCGGCGCCCCAACCGGGACUAGAACCCGGUGUGCCGGCGCCGCAAGGUGGAGGAUUAGCCUAUUGAGCCACGGCGCCGGCCCCUGUUUUAUUUUUUCAAUUGGCUAGUGUUCAGUAGUUUGCAAUUUAAUUUUUAUGUUUAUAAAAUUUCUGUUGUUUUUGUAAUUUUAUUCCUUUGUUUUCUGAAGAGAUAAAUGUAUAAUUUCAUUUUUUAAAGAUUUUGUUUAUUUGACAGGCAGUGUUAGAGAGAGAAGAGACAGAGAGAAAGAUCUUAUCCAUUGGUUCACUCACCAAAUACCCAAAAUGGCCAGAACUAGGCCUACCCACAGCCAGGAGCCAAGAGCUUCUUCUGGUCUCCAGUGCAGCUGCAGGAACCUAAGCACUUCGGUUGUUUUCCACUGCUUUCCCAGCCCUUAAACAGGGAACUGGAUUGGAAGAGGAUCAGUGGGGCCAUGAACUGGCGCCAUAGGCACAGGCUUAGUCUACAAUGCCACUGCUCCAGCCCCUGUAAUUUGUACUUUUAUUCAACAUUGCAUUCACAAUAUUUACCUCACUAAAAAUAAGCUGCAAAGUCAUAGUAAUAAGCUGUACAGAUGCAUUAGAAUUUAUUUAAUCUGGCUGUUCCUACAGAAUGCCUGUUUUUCCUUUGCCUCAGUUUUUGGUUAUUAUAAUAUAUAAUGCUGAAAUCAAUAUACUUUCCUAUAUAUGUAUGGCAUGGUGGGUCAAACCGCCAGCUGCAAUGCGGGCAUCCCAUAUUGGUGCUGGUUAACAUCCUUGCUGCUCCACUCCCAAUCCAGAUUUCUGCUAAUGGCCUAAGAAAAGCAUAGGAAGAUGGCCCAAAUGCUUGGGCCCCUGCCACUCACUUGGGACACUGGAUUAAACUCCUGGCUUUGCACUGGCCCAGGCUUGACUUGUAGCAGCCAUUUUGGGAGUGAACUGGCAGAUAGAAACUCGAUCUCACUGUACUGCUUUGUAAUUCUGGCUUUCAAGUGAAUAAAUUUUUAAAAGAAAAAAUAAAAACCACAUGCAAAUUGUACAUGUUUAUAAAGCAGUAUGUAAUAGGCAAACAAAAUCCUUAAUGCCAAGUCAUUGGAAGGAAUGUUUCUCCUAUCAAUUUUGCUGUCUUUUUAUCUUGCUUGUGGAUUUUGUUUAAACUUUGUGUAGUCAAGGUUAUCAGUCAUCUCCUCUCUUCUGAGCUAAAGCCCGAAAUACCUUCUGACAGGAUCACAUCAGUUGUGCGAGUCCCUCUAGGGCUCAGUUCCACAGCCCAGGCCGCCCGCCCACAGGACUUUCUGGUCCAUGAGGCUACGCGGCUCUAGGCGCCCCUGACAAGCUGCUCUGGUGAGAUCCAGCUCAGACCCGGGGACUGGCCCGCGUGGCCGAGGUCACGAGGGAGGUGCCCCCUCAGGGAGCCGGCCCUCGUGCAGUUGGGGGCAGUUGCGCUGGAGAGAGCUCCAAGGCAGAUGACCAGGGCCUCGCGGGAUGUCCCCUACUUGUUGAGCGAGGUGGAGGUGGUCCAGGUCCGUGCACCUUUGAACUCCUGUCAGUUGGUCAGCUCUGUCCCAUGUGCGUUAGCGCCAAUUGUCAAGCGCCCCCCAUCGUCCACUUUUAUAUCGUCUAAUGAGAAACCUACAGAGGCAGAACCUGCAGCUAUGGAGAGUUGACUGUAUUGUUCAAAACCUGUAGCCCUCAUCGAACAGAAUGUCGAAGUCUCCCAGAUGUGAAAUUACAGCUAUAUAGGAUACAUAUGUUUUCAUGGUUUUGUGGUGUGCACAUUUGUCAAUUAAAGGUAGUCCUGACUUCCUACUUCCUUUGAGAGGGAAACAUCCUGGAAGGAAGGAUACAGCUUCACAAAAAAGCAUGUGAAAAUCAACUAGUACUGGGUGACAAGAAUGUAAUGUCAAAGCUACCAGAAGACUGAUGAGGCGCAUGUGGCUGAAGUUGUGUCUCCUCCUGUAUGGUUCAAGUUUCUGAUGGCUUGGGAAACUCCAGCUCCUCUGCGUCCCAGGACUCCACACUGCAGUCUCCUAAGUUGCUAAAAGUUUCUGCAAAGAUGAAACAGGUACAGGGAUCAGUGGGGCAGGACAAGGAUGCUGUAGGGGUAGGGACCAUGGGAUGGGUGUGCAGCACUCAGAAGGCUCCUGUGCUCUGGAGGGUAACCCUAAGUCCUGACCUCCACAGAAAUCAGGGCCAUGGGUCACUGAGGCCCAUUUGUGUGGGGCAUGGACGUCCUACAAUUGUGAAUUCCAUUAGGCAUUCACUUGAGCAGCCUUCAGGGGACAUUUCACAUGGCAUUGAACCUGAUGUACAGGAAAGGGGAGAUCUCUUGGCCCCUGGGAUUAAAAAUCCAAGGCCAGGCUGGCGCCGCAGCUCAAUAGACUAAUCCUCCACCUAUUCCACUGGGUUCUAAUCCUGGUCGGGACGCCGGAUUCUGUCCCGGUUGCCCCUCUUCCAGGCCAGCUCUCUGCUAUGGCCUGGGAGUGCAGUGGAGGAUGGCCCAAGUGCUUGGGCCCUGCACCCCAUGGGAGACCAGGAUAAGCACCUUGCUCCUGGCUUCAGUUCAGUGCAGUGCGCCAGCCAUGGUGGCCAUUGGAGAGCGAACCAACAGCAAAGGAAGACCUUUCUCUCUGUCUCUCUCUCUCUCUCACUGUCCACUCUGCCUGUAAAAAAAAAAUCCAAGGCCUACUCCCCUGGGUCUUAUGAGAAGGAGGUUUGAUGACACAUAAUGGGAGUCCUGAAGCUGCCUACUCAGUCCUUACCCCACAGGCCUGGGGCCUGUGACCUGCAUGUUAAUUAUGGACAACUGCACAGAGCUCUUUGGUUUCCUUCCCUAAUCAUGUAGAAGUUCUUUCUAUCCUCCAUGUAGAAGUCAUUUCAGGGAUUUUAUUGGCAAGAAUUAUUCUGUGACAUUAACCCAACCAUUAUUGCUUUACUAUAUUUGAGCAUGGAAAAUGUGAUGGAAGACAUUUCUUUUGAGAGGGCCAUGCAGCCAGUGUGUAUUUGUGAUUGAAGUAUAAAAUUAGUGCACAAAUGAGAAGAACACUAUGUUCUUGACACCCUGCUCCUGUCACUCUUCAAAGUGAGUUUUGCCUUAAUUGCUGACAAUUAAGUUUAACAGGCACAUAGAAAAGUUUAUAUGCACAAAAAUAAACAAUCAACAUGUGAAAACGCAUCUAUCAGCCUCUGAGAAUGGAGGCUGAGGGCCCCAAAAGGCCUGGGUAAAUCCCCACAGCUCUUGUGUUCUGUGCUGGCUCUUAUGUGAUGUCAGGUUGGGAUGGGUAGCUACAAGGAUAUAAAGAUGUGUACAGUGGGCUGUCUUCCUGGUGUGAAAAGGCACCCAAAGGUGCCUCUCUCUGUCUCACCCUCUUCCUAAUCUUCCUGAGUUGGAGGUGGUCAGGGACAACCCCCAGUGUCUCCCCACACCUGUAAGGCUCCCUGUUGACUUCAGGUUGGGUUGGCAGGGACUCACCUUGUAGAGGGAGAUAUUCAACAGCUGUGGUGGCUCUCCCUAGACACAACACAACUAACAGCCCUCUCCAGAGUCAUUUGCCUGCCAAUCCUGCUAGCACCUACAGCCUUCCCUUCAGAUGAAAGCAAAAUUCCUCCUAGCAGCUCUAGGAGCUUCCAUGGAAUGGGGAUGUGCUCCAUGGGACCACCUCAGGGCACAUCCUUCACUCACCUGUGUGGAUCCUGAACAUCCAUUCAUCUCCACUCUCAAGGUCAGGCUCAUUGGCAGCCUCUCCACUUCUGGUCUACAUUUAGUUGGAUCCCUGAGGUGUCACAAAGAAUGUGGAGCAAUGGAGUCCAUGUGACUUAUUUCCCUGACCCCCAUCUACCUGCUGCAAACUCACAUUUCCUGUUCUUCUUGGUCGAGAUCCUCAAUGUCCUGAAUGCUUUGAGUGUAAUUCACAUCAAGGGAACACGUGAACAGCUGGAAGGAGACCAGAAUGAGUUUCUUGAGGCAGGCAUUGCAGGAGAAGACCUGUCUGACCUGUCUUGGUGGACAAUAAGGACAGAUUCAGACUUCUCUGGAGUCCUCCCUUCCACCGAGAUUGGGACCCAGCUUGCCUGUCCCCAGGCCAGUUCCCUUGUAGGCCAGCCAGAUUGCUCAGCACCAUUUCAUAGUGUAGUCUGGGGGUCAGGAGUGAAGGCAAGUUUGAUCAACUGAGAAAGGAGGGCUGUAGAUAGAUUGUAUCAGCAUCCAUAGUGCACGUAUAUCAAGUGCCUAGAUCAUACCAGGUUCUUCACAAUGAGAAUCAUCAACUCUGGUGAGGAGGGAAUGAGGGAGACAAAGGAAUAGGAGCUUCUGAGCAAAAAGCCAGAGAAUCAGAAAGAUAUGAAAAAGGAAACACUUAACCCCAGAUCACCACUUCCAAUGGAAAGUUCAGAGACUACCACGUAGCCUUCCAUGUGCACAGGAGCAGGGAGUGAUGAGGUUGCCAGAGAAAAGAAAAGGGAAGAGUUAGACUUGAGGUGAGGACUCGGACCCCUGCUGCUGGUUGGAUGAUGUAGGCCAACCUUGGGCCCCUCUUGGGGUUCCAUCUCUAUACCCCUGUUCCUGGGAUUGGAUGGCUUCACCUUUGUAAUGAGUUAGAGGAUCUCUGAACUUUGACCUCUUCCUUGAGCCCUCAGUAUCCCAUAAUACUCACUAGGAAUGUCACCUUGUUCCUCCUUGUGUAGCCACUGUCCAUUUGUCGAUGUGUGCAACACAUUGUUUUUCAUCCCUCAUGUGUCCCUGCCUCUAUUUUGACUCAUAAAUAUUGUCCAUUUCCUUUGUCCUUGUCGACCUCCACCAAUCAUAUUAUUGUCUGCUAUGGGAGCAUUGGAGCCCAAGAUAAUGCUAUACUGCCACCUGGAGCUGGCAUUGUGGUGCAGCAGAUGAAAGCACCCUGUGUGGCGACCACCCCAUAGGAUCACUGAUUGGUGUCCCUGGUUCACCCCUUCUGAUCCAGUUCCCUGUUAAUGUGCCUUGGAAAGCAGUGUAAGAUGGCUCAUGCUUGGGUCCCUGCCAGACAUUUGGGAGACAGAUGGAGUUUCAGGAUCCUGGUUCGGCCUGGCCCAACCUUGUCAUUGAGGUUAUGUAGGGACUGAAACAUUGGAUGGAAGAUCUCUUUUUAUUUUUUAUUUUUUUGCUCCAAGUCAUAACUUUGCCUUUCAAAUAAGUAUAUAAAUCUUUUAAAAUAUAUUUUCAUGCACAGCAAUAUAUCUGGAGAUCAAUUCUAAAUGUGGGGAGCGAAUGUCCUGGUCUCCUGUUGGGGCCUGAGAAGGUAAGAAGAUAACAAGGACCACAUCCGUAUAUCUGGGUUAAUCUUGUGGAGUUUGGAAAUAUUUAAUCAUCAUAGCAAUCCCAGGUUUCCUGACCCAUUUGAAAAGAUGCCCCAAAAAGGAGAGGAAAUUUAAUUUGUUCAAAUUCUGGUAGUGUGCCAAGGAGGCAACAGGGAGUCCACAGCAGGUUUAUUUUUGGCCAUAUGAUAAAUGGGACUUGCUAGAGUUUUCAGAGAGCAGUGAAAAGACUGGGAAGAAGGACACCAGGCAGGCCUGAGGACAGGGAAUCUUCUGGGUCUGCCUAGAGGAGGGAACAGUUCAGUACUGUGUGUUUGGAGAUGUACAUCUGAGGGGAACAGCGACACACAGCCUUGCUGCCCAGAGGCACUCCACUGAGCCCAGUACGUUCCAAGGGAUGAGGUCAGCAGGACCGUGAGGGCCAGUGUGUGUUUCCAGCCCAGAAUGCCCUAACACAGAUCCUCUGGGAAGCCUGUGCAGCUAUGCAGUAUCUCCAGUAGCAACUGGAUAACAGCCUGUCACAAAGCCUAUUCCAGACUUGGGUGAGAUGGGGAUGCCAAGAGGAACUCAAAGUAAUGCUUGGCCAUCACAAUUCUAGGAUGUUGGGGCCUCCCGUGUCAGCUCAGAGGAAGUAUUCUUUAACUUGGCCAAACCUGGUGGUGAGAAGUUGUGUUGUAAGCUGGGAGUAGACAGUGAAGAUAGAGCACAAAAGCACUGGUACAUGUACUGGCUGUGCAGAGGGGCAGGGUCCACUACUCACUGUCACCUGGCACUUGCUACAGGACUGUGUGGGUUCCAGCCAGUGUAUGUGAGAGACGGUGUCCCACUGUAUCCCAUGCCCUUCUGCCUUCUGCCAAGUGAAUCGAGGAUGCAACAAAGAGCCCUUCCUCAGACACAGUGGCACCAUCUUGAUCUUUGACCUGCCAACCGUGAGAAGAAGGAAAUUUCUCUUCCUUAUUAAUUACAGAGUCUCAGGUAUUAUGUUGCAGUGAAAAGUGGACUAAGAUAAUGGUCAACAGAAAACUCAAACAUCUCUUGUCCUGAAUAUGCAGGCAGUGCUAUCCUAUCACAAUGCAGUGGACUUGAUCUUUACAAUGGCAAAGCCAGGGAUGGUCAACAGCAGAGAAAAUGUAAAGUUUUAAAUACUAAAGCAAGAAAUGAUCAGUAAAAAUUCAGUUUGCUCCAAUCCCAUGGGUAUAUAACCUCUUCCUACUCUAUAAUUAAUGUAAAAAAGAAUAAAACAGACGUCUACAUGCAAUAUAUUUUUUCCUCGUGAGUUAAUAUGUCCUCUCCAAAGUCCAAAGCAGCACAUAAUCCAAGCCUUCCCCUAAUUUGACUCUCCAGUCUUUGUGGGUAUUGCUCAUACCUGAGGGGCUUCAUCCUCACUGUUGGACUUGGAAAUGCUCUGCAAGACCCAAUCUUGAGAGACACAAACACAGACAACAUGUGUUCACAGAGAGUCUCGCCUAUUCCUCCCCUCAGCCUGAUCCCAUCUUGGAUUGCCCAACAUGACCCUGCUCCCUCCUCUGUGCUCUCACACCCUUCCUUGGCUCUGUGGACCUUCAGGCAGACAUUGACCACAGCUUCAAGCCUUCCAGUGAAAGAGUGGAGCUGAAAACACUACCUCUCAACAUCUCACUUUUCCUAAAACAAUGAAUGAGGCUGCCUCCAGCCUGCAUCUGAAAACCCCAAAUCCCAGCUCUGAUGUGCAUGCUCGUAGAUGGAUGAGCUGGAGAAUGGACCUGUCCCAGGCUGAGAGAGAGAACAUUCUGUGAGUAGCUGGAACUAAUUGUGCAGGAAGAGUACUUUCUUCAGGAGCUCGUGCUGAUUGUUCCUGACUUGAUUCAGAGCCCGGGCAGGUAAUCGGCCUGGUGUGUGAUCCAACAGGGUGUGCACAGUGAGGAGUAGACCUUUCCAGCCCUAUGCUAGAUCCCAGACCAGGGAUAUAUUCCUCAUUUGCCUAUGAGACCCUAGGAGGACAGCCAAGAGCCAGGCUGUGGGAUGGCAAUGUCUGCAGAUGACCAACCAGCCCAGGCUAGGCUUCCUGUACACAAGAAUGGGAAAACACAGAUGGACUUUGGCCCUGGGAACUCUAAGAAUUUCCAGUGCUGCUAAGCCACAGAAGUCUUUGGAUCAUACAAAGAAGCAGCAAGGGUGCAUGGACCCUAUCAUUGCGCUGAGCGUGUACUAUGCUGGAGCCUAUGCCCCUCCCCACCUCUCCUAUUACUGCAGUGUGCUUUAGCUGUGAUGGCCCUGAGAUGUGAUGCCCCCUCUAGUUUUCCUCUUUCUGUGUGGACAAUAAUUAUAUGGCAACUUACAAAAUCUUAUUCCCUGUUCAGGCCCCAAAAGAUCAGACCUGGAAUCCUCUCUGUAUCUGGCCUAUACCUGAAAUUGAUUUCUGCUGAGGCAUGUACUGUCCUCCUGCAGCAGAGAAGUGGAGACCUGCAUCCUAUUCUCUGAACCUCACCACAGCAUCCUUUAUUUCCUUUGGUAUUUAUAUAGACUUCAAACAAUGACCUUGAAUUGUUUCCUUGGAAAUGCCUUAUGAAGAAAUCUAGAACCAAUUUCAACUGGGAAAUUCAGCAGGAAUAUUGUAGGGUACUCCACCAAGGACUGAGUUGACAUUAGAAGCAGAAAUAGCUUUCAUUUCUUAAUGUAAUCAGUUCUUAGUAUAAGGCCAUAGGGUCAAAUAUGGACAUUUUGUAAUGAUUAAAACAAGGGUUUUCCAUAAAGAAGCAUAGAGAAGAUCGUGGAAUAGGGAGAAUGCUUAUUGAUCUAGUCCAGGAGAAGGUAGUAAAAAAAAGUGGAGAUAGUGUAGUCUCAGGAAAGAGUUAGAGAAAAAAAUGGCAGAGGAAACUCUUCCAAAAUUAGAAGGACACAGUGGACCUACUUGAAGGGCGUGGUCACCCACAGCUCAAGAUGCCAGCAUCUGAGAGGCUAAGCUCCAGCAUUGGAAAGUAAGUGAGAUGAGACUGCAGUAGCUGGAGACACUGGCAAAAAAGCAGCAGGAAAAGCCUAGAGGGAACAAGGCUUGAAGCCCCAUGGGGGAAAGUACACCAACCUAACUAGAUGAGAGAAAAAAUAAAAGGGGCCAUACCAUAGAGACACAUUUCUCUCUGAUCACCUUACAAAUGCGUACAAGCCGAUAGAGCUGGCUCCAUUUUGGACAUACAUAACAGCAGCGGCAGCUUGUGUUUGCAACCAGCAAUCAGCCGAGCAGAGAAACCUGACUCUGAUGGGGAGUAAUAGCAGGAGGCUAAGACCUAGUGACUGUGUGGAACUUCUGAACUCGGAUUGUGAAAAAAAAAAAAAUUGAGUGUGUGGGAGAAGUCACGGUGUGGCUGAGACUUUGAGUAGUCUUGGUAGGAGACACCACAAGCUCAGGCGGACCUGGCUAGAUGGUGGGAGACAUUGCAGGGGAAUCUGAACUUACACUGAAGACUGCACAGAUCCAUUGUGUGGUCCUUGUGACAGGGCAGACAAAUAAACCCACUGGGGCUGCCGCUCAGGCACUGAUCACCAUCAAAGUGAAGAGCUUAGCUGAGUGGAAAUACUUACCUUCUGAUUAAAAAGAGAGAGAGAGAGAGAGAAGAGAGAGAGAGAGAGAGAGAGAGAGAGAUAGAGAGAGAGAUUUACCACAUCAAACCUGGGUGUGUCACCUUAGGCACGCCCUUAAGCAUGAAGAAUUGAACAGAGUUCUCUGGCCACAUCCACCAUAAGCCUCUAGAGAUUCACUGAGAGCAGAUAGUCCACUUAUCUACAGAGUCAUAGUACAAUGAAAAACGCCACCAUGGCAGAAAUAAAAGCAAAAGAAGAAGAAGAAACCAAUGAGAAUUUCCACAAGUGCUGAACAACAAAUGCAACAAUCCAAGAAACAAGAAUAAGGAAGACAACAUGAUGCUCCCAAAAGAACGUGACACUUCAAUACAAGAUUAUGAAGACAAUGAAAUAGAAGAAAUGCAAGAAAUGGAACUCAAUACAUUGAUGAUAAGAACACUUAGAAGUAAUCAAAACCAAGCACACAGAGUACUGAAAUCCAUGCAGGAUAUGAAAAAAAAUCUCUCUCAUGAAAACUAAAUCUUAAGGAGAAAUCAAAAUGAAAUGAAGAAUUCAAUAGAACAUGAAAUUGAGAUACUGAAGAAAAAACAAAAUUAAAUGAAGAAUUCAAUAGAAAAAAUAAAAAAUGCAGUUGAAGGCCUUAAAAACAGAAUCAGUGAGGCAGAAGAGAGAAUAUCAGACUUGAAAGAGAACAGGAAAGUGUAGAGUCAAACUGAAGACAAGAAGAAGAAAUUAGACAUCUAAAAAAUAUUGUUGGGAAUUUACAGGAUACUAUUAAAAAAACAAUAUUUGGGUUCUGGGAAUUCCUGAAGGCAUGGAGAGAGAAAAAGAAUUAGAAGGCCUUUUUAGUGAGAUACUUGCAGAAAACUUCCAGGGUUUGGAGAAAGACGUCCACAUACAGGAAGCACACAGAACUCCCAAUAGGCAUGACCAGAAAAGAUACGAGCCACCACACAUUGUAAUUAAACUCCCCACAAUGAAGCUUCAGGAAAAGAUUCUAAAAUGUGCAAGAGAAAAAUGCCAGAUUACUCUCAGAGGAUCUCCAAUUAGACUCACAGCAGACUUCUCAUCAUAAACCCUACAGGCUAGGAAAGAAUGGCGAAACAUAGUCCAAAUACUAAGAGAAAAAAAACUGCCAUCCCAGAAUAUUAUAUCCUGAAAAGCUCUCAUUUGUGAAUGAAGGUGAAAUAAAGACCUUUCAUAGCAAACAGAAAUUGAAAGAAUUUGUCACCAUUCAUCCAGCCCUGCAAAAGAUGCUUAAAGAUGUGUUAUACACAGAAACAUGGUCAUCAA